GCCGCGUGGGGGAUGAAGGCCUUCGGGUUGUAAACCCCUUUCAGCAGGGAAGAAGCGAAAGUGACGGUACCUGCAGAAGAAGCGCCGGCUAACUACGUGCCAGCAGCCGCGGUAAUACGUAGGGCGCAAGCGUUGUCCGGAAUUAUUGGGCGUAAAGAGCUCGUAGGCGGUUUGUCGCGUCUGCUGUGAAAUCCUGAGGCUCAACCUCGGGCUUGCAGUGGGUACGGGCAGACUAGAGUGCGGUAGGGGUGACUGGAAUUCCUGGUGUAGCGGUGGAAUGCGCAGAUAUCAGGAGGAACACCGAUGGCGAAGGCAGGUCACUGGGCCGCAACUGACGCUGAGGAGCGAAAGCAUGGGGAGCGAACAGGAUUAGAUACCCUGGUAGUCCAUGCCGUAAACGUUGGGCACUAGGUGUGGGGCUCAUUCCACGAGUUCCGUGCCGCAGCAAACGCAUUAAGUGCCCCGCCUGGGGAGUACGGCCGCAAGGCUAAAACUCAAG
rnacentral:rRNA from 1 species